rnacentral:rRNA from 1 species
GCGGAAGCCUGAUGCAGCGACGCCGCGUGAGGGAUGACGGCCUUCGGGUUGUAAACCUCUUUCAGCAGGGAAGAAGCGGAAGUGACGGUACCUGCAGAAGAAGCGCCGGCUAACUACGUGCCAGCAGCCGCGGUAAUACGUAGGGCGCAAGCGUUGUCCGGAAUUAUUGGGCGUAAAGAGCUCGUAGGCGGUCUGUCGCGUCUGCUGUGAAAGCCCGGGGCUCAACCCCGGGUCUGCAGUGGGUACGGGCAGACUGGAGUGCAGUAGGGGAGACUGGAAUUCCUGGUGUAGCGGUGAAAUGCGCAGAUAUCAGGAGGAACACCGAUGGCGAAGGCAGGUCUCUGGGCUGUUACUGACGCUGAGGAGCGAAAGCAUGGGGAGCGAACAGGAUUAGAUACCCUGGUAGUCCAUGCCGUAAACGUUGGGCACUAGGUGUGGGGGGCAUUCCACGUCCUCCGCGCCGUAGCUAACGCAUUAAGUGCCCCGCCUGG